UGCUUGCACCUUUCAAGCGAGUGCGAACGGGUGAGUAACACGUGGAUAACCUGCCUCAAGGCUGGGGGAUAACAUUUUGGAAACAGAUGCUAAUACCGAAUAAAACUUAGUAUCGCAUGAUAUAAAGUUAAAAGGCGCUACGGCGUCACCUAGAGAUGGAUCCGCGGUGCAUUAGUUAGUUGGUGGGGUAAAGGCUUACCAAGACAAUGAUGCAUAGCCGAGUUGAGAGACUGAUCGGCCACAGUUGGGACUGAGACACCGGACCCAAACUCC
rnacentral:rRNA from 1 species